GCUGAACUCAAUCUCUGACAGUUACUUGCAGUCAUUGUGUGCAGUUGUGAUUCUCUUAUCACACCUGGGACUGGACUUCACCCCCCUUCCAACUCUCCCCCUCGGCUAAUGAAAAUGGAGUUAAGGGCACUUGCACACCAUGGCCACAAGGUGGCAGCAUCGCCUCAUUGGUGUUUCCUAAGAAGGCUGCCUGGUGUGGGCAACCAGGAGAGAGAGGCUGUUAGGAUCAGGGUACAAAGAAGGGUACAAAGGGUACAAAGAAGGCUGAACAGGCCCCCUCCCCCUCCUGUGAAGUGACAGAAUUGAGGUGAGUGUGAAAUAGUUUCAUUUUGGGAUUGGAAGUCAGUUUAGAGAAGUGCUUUUCAAACUUCAACGUGAUUUUGGAUCAUUUAAAUGCAGAUUCUGAUUUUCUUUCUUUCUUUUUUGUAAUAGAGAUGGGGUGUUGCUCUGUUUACCAGGCUGGCCCCAAACCCAGGGGCUCAAAGGAUCUUCCUGCCUCAGCCUCCUGAAUAGCUUGGACAAGAGAUACAUGCCACCAUGCUCUCAGGCUGAGGUUCUGCAUUUCUAAAAUGCUUUUGGAUCAUGCCAUUGCUGCUGGCUGGAGGACCACACUUUGAAAAGUAAAGCUUUGGAAGUCGUUUGAUUAAUUCUCACUGCACUUGAUUUAUAGAUGGAGAGAAGAAAGACUGGAGAGAGAAUGUAAACUCACCUUCUUGCACUUAAGCCCCGAGCUGCUUAGUCCAGCGAACACUCCCUACAUCCUGAGGCCCCCUUUCCUGUUAGUGCCACCUCCUUAGUUGAGGAACUCAAAACUCCCAUAUUAACCACCCCCAUUCGUCUUUGCUCAAGGUGUCCUUUUGGUUACUCCCUUACUCAGAUUUUUCGAUGGCUCUUCUGAAAUCAAUUACAAGAUCAAGUUCAAACGUCUCUGUAUGGUUUCCAUGACCUUAUGACAUGCGGUCGGUCUCAUUUUAGCAAACUUACCUAACUUCCCUAUUUUUAUUUUAUUUUGUUUUUGGUACUGG
rnacentral:lncRNA from 1 species